CCUAGAUCGCACUGGAUUGCUGUCAGGAUACCUACAUAUCAUUUUUUUAAAAUCAGAAUAAAAGGCAUUUUAUUUUUAAAAACGGCAAAGGAUCUGCUUAACCCAGCUUACCGGCGAUGCCGAAUCGAUCCAUGUAGUAGUUGGAAUUUUUCUUUAUUGCCAUCGGAAGUUGUUUCUGCUAACUGGCUGUCUGUUCCGGCAUCCAUUGUGAUCGAUCUUCACGGACGUGAAAAAGCCCUUAACCAUCUAGUGAUGAGACAAAACAAAACAUUCGAUUUGGGAAACGGUGGUUCUACCGAUAACCACUCACGAUUAAAUAAAAUCAGCACGAUCAACUUAGCAAAAGUUCACAGUAGACAGCAUUACUGGCUCAGACAGAAAAAGGAACGGACCCCAGUUUCUCCCAUAAGAUCAGUUGAUAGGAGUCAAGGGGCGUGGCUGGAAUUGAUAACGUAUCGAAAGACGCUAUUUAGGUUAUUAUGUACGUCAGCAUGAAUCUGAAAAAGUAUAUUAUUUGAGGCUUUGAGCUUAAUUUGAAACACGUGAAGUGCAAUAGCAUUACCAUUCGCAACUGCACGUUUGGCUUUGUCUCUGUCGCCGAGAAGACACCACGAUCCGACCAGAAAAAGGGCGGCAUCGUCGGUAAUCUGUGUUUUGAUCACCUACAUUUGCUACAUAAUUCCAUUAGAUUAGUGUAACCGUACAUACCAGACCGCGAUGAUGAAUGGAUUGCUGGCAUCGCUAAAAACAUGAACUGACAUGAUAUGGAACAUCUCAGUGGUCGCUCGUCGGGUAGGUACGACCACGUACUUAAACCAAUAUUAAAAGAAUCAAGUUUAUAGUUCCAAUUUCAAAGAAAUUAAGAAGCUGUUUUGAUGAGUACCAAAAGAAUAUUCUCCUGUCGGAAAUUUCCGACCCAACGACAAGAUUUUUUACUUGUUCAUUUUCUGUAUCUCUGAUUCUCUGUGUUUAAGGAUUGGGCAAGUCUAAACAUGUUGCCGUCAUUUUGCAAUUCCUUUCUGUACCCCUUUCCCCAGUUUUGUGGAGAAAACUUUGCCUUGGGCUAAAUUGGUCGAGUGCCGGAGUGCGACUCAGUAGAGUCAGUACUCAGUAGUCAGUUGUUCGUCCACUCCCGUGAAAGACAGGUAUCACCUAUAACAGACAAUACAAAAAGUUUCAUCAGACUUUUUUUUGGUGAUCAAUGUCGUAAAGUUUUUCGACAUUUACGACCAAGGGCCAACUCAAAUUGAUUUAAUUUUAAUUUGUCUGUGGGUCAUCCGGAAGGGUAGAAGAAAAGAAUGGUAUAAAAUUCAAAUCGUUACACUAAGCAAAUUAUCCGCAAACACCUUGUGUGCAAAGCACGUGAUCGGUACAGAAGAGGGAAGAUAGCUGGAAAGGAGAAAUUUUCCAGGGCAGUAUGAACUGACAUCUAGUGGCCACCCGACUGCCCUCUGCCUGAUCUCCUCAUGUUGUAAACCAUGGAAUGCUCACCAAUUAUCUGAUGGUGUAAAUCUACUUGACAGAGCUUAAAUUGUCCAAAUAUUCUGAAACCUGAGAAAAUUCCUGUCAGAAACAUUUAGCAAAAGGUUAAAUGACAGAAGCUCUUCCAACAUUAAAAUUCCUGAAAACAGACAAAAAUGAUUAUUGGAAAACUCAAGAAUCGAGGAAUAGAGUCCAAUCAAAAACAAAACUUUGGUGGAUGUAGUUCAAAACAAGACCGGAACAUGUCAGAGGAAGGCACUGAAUUCAAAAUGCUGUCAUUAAGAUGGAGAUUCUACAAGUUCCCAUCCCAUUCAACAAGGUUUUUGUGGGCUCAACAAUCUGGAUAACACUUGGUUUUUGACCGUUGUUUCAAGUAGGGUAAAUCAUUCAUAACUCAACUAAUCAUAGUGGUUGUAAUUGGCAUUUGUCGCUCAUGUCAAAUACUCCGACCAUUCAACGGUACUUUUCGGAAGAGCGACUCAUAAUUCUCAGGAACUAUUCGCCUUUCUCCUUUUGGAUUGUAGGAAGAAUGGAUUGGAUUUGAAUCGGAAAUUUGUUUAAGUUUUACAUUGAACUCGAUGGUAUCGUAUUGUUUCCCGUGGUACUGUUCAUUUGCCUUCUACUCAAUUGUCUUCAACAGUUGAAAUUCUUUUUUAGGAAGUAGCAGGUGAUCUUUGGAAAAUUCUACUGAAACGGAACAAUUCUGUAUUAGUAGAUUUCUUCCAUGGAAUGUUGAAGUCGACCUUGGGGUGUCACUAGUGCAACGAAAUCUCGGUGUGAGCUACUGGAAAAGCUUGAGACACUGGGCACUUGCUGUUUACGAGUGUACCUAACGAAGAGAAGACAAGGAAUAAUUACGGCUGUGAUUCCAUGUUUCUCAUUCCUCAACUGCCUUGCGAAGGAAUGGAUCGUUACCAAUCAUACCGAUGCGUAGUAACACGAGUGAAGCGUUAUCUAAAAACAUAAGAUGACCUCAUCACUCAUACAUCAGAGGCUCUGGCAAUCUGUUUAUCAUCUAAUGGUAUCACGGACAUCAUUUUAAAAAUCAAACUUUCUGCGAGAGUGAAAUGGACACUAGAGAUGCCGACGUGCCCUUCGACAACAGCUACAAACUGGCUAUUUUGGCGAAAUAGAGUAAAAUGGAAUACAUUUAUUCUUCCAGCAAAAAGUUUUUUAUCUCGCGAAUGGGACCUGGCUGUAAAAUAUGUUAUCCACGAUGCCGAAAUUUCCGCCGAAGACACGUAACAGUACUUUAGUUAAAAGAACUCCUCAAAGUCUUUAUCUCCAUUGAACUAUUGGGGGCUUAUGAUGUCUGAUAUUAUUUUUCAUUACGUUUUUUCUCAAAUUUACAAUUAUGUAUGGUCUUAGGUAUUGGCCUACCUGUAAGAAGCAUGUAAUGACAACCAAGAAAUUCAAUUUGUUGUCGCUACCUCAGGUAUGGCUCCUAAUUCGAUUGAUCGAAGUCCAACAGAUGCCGUUUAUGACUUGGGCUCUCACCCCCUGCCUUCGCAUGAAGCUUUGUCGGGAAGCUAUCGGGAACUUUGCGAAUAUCUCAGUAAUAAAGCCCGACUUCUUGUACCAACUGCUCUUAUCUAAUUGUAACCAUUCAAUUGAGAAAUUUUGAAGAGAUUUUGCACUGCCAUCUAUCGACAAUUUACUCAGUAAAUAAGCCCGA